rnacentral:rRNA from 1 species
CAACUUUCAACAACGGAUCUCUUGGCUCUCGCAUCGAUGAAGAACGCAGCYAAAUGCGAUAAGUAAUGUGAAUUGCAGAAUUCAGUGAAUCAUCGAAUCUUUGAACGCACCUUGCGCUCCUUGGUAUUCCGAGGAGCAUGCCUGUUUGAGUGUCAUGA